rnacentral:rRNA from 1 species
UACGAAGGGGGCUAGCGUUGUUCGGAAUCACUGGGCGUAAAGGGCGCGUAGGCGGCGCGGUAAGUCACUUGUGAAAUCUCUGAGCUUAACUCAGAACGGCCAAGUGAUACUGCAGUGCUAGAGUGCAGAAGGGGCAAUCGGAAUUCUUGGUGUAGCGGUGAAAUGCGUAGAUAUCAAGAGGAACACCUGAGGUGAAGACGGGUUGCUGGGCUGACACUGACGCUGAGGCGCGAAAGCCAGGGGAGCAAACGGG